CUUAUACUCCCUCCGUUUCAAAUUACUCGUCGCAGAAAUGGAUAUAUCUAGAACUAAAAUACAUCUACAUACAUCCAUACCUACGACAAGUAAUUUGGAACGGAGGGAGUAUUUA
rnacentral:pre_miRNA from 1 species